GUACCCUGGUUUCUCUUCAGAUCAUGUAAAUCUUUCGCCUUUUACUAAAGGUUUCUGUGGAGAGAAACAACUCUGAGUCUUUAAAAAG
rnacentral:snRNA from 1 species